rnacentral:rRNA from 1 species
UACGUAGGGCGCAAGCGUUGUCCGGAAUUAUUGGGCGUAAAGAGCUCGUAGGUGGUUUGUCGCGUCUGCCGUGAAAGCCCGGGGCUUAACUCCGGGUCUGCGGUGGAUACGGGCAGACUAGAGGCAGGUAGGGGAGAACGGAAUUCCCGGUGUAGCGGUGAAAUGCGCAGAUAUCGGGAGGAACACCGGUGGCGAAGGCGGUUCUCUGGGACGGUACUGACGCUGAGACGCGAAAGCGUGGGGAGCGAACAGG